CAGCCAACAACAGUUGAACAAACCAACAAAUGAAUUACCUGAUUACUUCUGUAGAUUAAUUCUGCGGAUGCACCAAGGUACUUGCACAGGAAACGGCCUGCUCUGAGAACAGACGGCUAAACCCGCCAGAGCUGUCUUUAGAAAUUAGCCAGGAUGGUCUAAACACCACCACCACCACCACCACCAAAAAAAGAUCCUUGGAUUCCUCUCUAUUUCAUGUGUUGCCUCGCUCGCUUACUUGCCUGUGUGUAUCAUCGAGCACCAUUGAUUGGAAAUGCUUCAAACAUUGAGGCAAAUCACGUGCAUUCAUGGAUGAACAUGCAGUAAGUAUUUGUGGACAUGACAUAUAAUCACUCAACCAUUCCGUCGUUUGAGCUUUUUUGUUGCUAAAGCACUUCAUUAUUAUCAAACACA